rnacentral:rRNA from 1 species
AUUGAACGCUGGCGGCAGGCCUAACACAUGCAAGUCGAGCGAGCGGCGGACGGGUGAGUAAUGUAUGGGAAACUGCCCGAUGGAGGGGGAUAACUACUGGAAACGGUAGCUAAUACCGCAUACCAUCGGAUGUGCCCAGAUGGGAUUAGCUAGUAGGUGGGGUAAAGGCUCACCUAGGCGACGAUCGCUAGCUUGUCUGAGAGGAUGACCAGCCUCAAUGGGACUGAGACACGGACCAGACGCCUACGGGAGGCAGCAGUGGGGAAUAUUGCACAAUGGGCGCAAGCCUGAUGCAGCCAUGCCGCGUGUAUGAAGAAGGCCUUCGGGUUGUAAAGUACUUUCAGCGGGGAGGCGUUACCCGCAGAAGAAGCACCGGCUAACUCCGUGCCAGCAGCCGCGGUAAUAC